AGCCUGUCAGGGUCACCUCUGGACAGACACCAACAGCAGAUACCAACAGGCUACAUUAAAGGAAUCAUUGGGUUUUACAUUUUCCUGUUUAGCAGGGCCUCUGAGUAAUCACUUCCUUUGACAACAGAUUGUGAAUAAAUCACAAAAAUGCAGAGGUGCCGUGGCUGGGGACAUUACAAUGUCAGCAUCUGCCAUAAUUCAGGGAACAUCUUUUUUCGAUCCAGAGCUUCAGGGCAGAAGUCACCUUUCCAUCUGGCUAAUGCCACUACCAAUGUAGUCUGGCUGAGCUUCCAUGAAAAGGAAGUAAACCUGUCAGAGCUCGCAAAUGAAACCAAGGAUGGUGCAUCUGGGAAGAGCCUGAAGAUUUUAAAGAAAGAACCAAAUAUCAUUUACAUCUCCAUUCCUGCCUUGGGUUAUAUCGAAUUUCAAGAUGAGAUUGCACCGUUUGCAUCAUUCUUUGUGGAAAACAAAGAUGAUUCUGGUGUUCAGACCAUCUGCCUUAAUAAGCCUAUGCCAAAGGGCAGAUCCCUCAUUGUAACCAGUGAUCACAAGAUUAUACUACAUAAAGAAGGUGCAGAAAAUGUGUUUGAGGAUGAGAAAGGGGUAGAUCACCUUCCUGAAUAACAGGGUACUGGCCUAAUGUGUGCACUGGUCUUGAGUAUUUAGUAUGAUGUACCCUGCCUUAAAUGGCACAGAAUGCUGUAAUGCUGACAUGGCAUUGAUUUUUCAUAAAGGCAUGGGCCCAGACUCAUUAGACUGAUCUGUGUAAAGGAAAAAGCACUUGAACCAUUAAGCAGCUUUUGGAAAAAUUAAGACCUAUAUGCUUUGCUUUAGCUAGAGAGAAUCACCAUUUUCAGCGCACUUGUAAAUUUCAUGAUUUACUCAACAUGUGGUGUGGUGUUUAUCAAAAGAUGUUUUUAUCAAAGUUUAUCAAAGAUAUGAGUACACUGGAUGUUGUGGACCAUGUGCACUGUUUUCUUUAUUUCUAUCUUACUGGAGGUUUUCCAUUGCUGAAUAAUUAUGAAAUUAUUACCUUUUUAAAGGUUAUGCAUGGGACAUGUUGCGUUUCAGUUUUGUGGGCCAAUUGUUGACUUGUUCAAGAAUUUUAAUUAUUUUUAAACAAUUAAAUGAUUAUUUCACACACGGGCGCCUGUAGCUGUACGGCUGUACACACA